rnacentral:rRNA from 1 species
UACGUAGGUGGCGAGCGUUGUCCGGAAUUACUGGGUGUAAAGGGAGCGUAGGCGGGAGUGCAAGUUGAAUGUUAAAUCUAUCGGCUCAACCGAUAGCCGCGUUCAAAACUGCAUUUCUUGAGUGAAGUAGAGGUUGGCGGAAUUCCUAGUGUAGCGGUGAAAUGCGUAGAUAUUAGGAGGAACACCAGUGGCGAAGGCGGCCAACUGGGCUUUACUGACGCUGAGGCUCGAAAGCGUGGGGAGCAAACAGGAUUAGAUACCCCCGUAGUCCCUGAG